AGUCACCCUGAGAUAUCGCUCUGAGCUUGUUGUCGAAACACGAGCGGCGAAGAAAAUGGAGGGAUUACUUACUUUAAUCCGAAGCCUUGGCCAACAUCGGGCGCUUGAAUACGGGUACCAUUUCUAUGGAUUUGCGGAGCCCCGAAAUGAAGGACUCCAUUUUCAUCAGGAAUCUUUUUCUUGACAGCUCUGAAUCAAAUUCAAGGACCAAGUCGUAACUUUGGGGCACUUUCAUCAGUAUCAUGGGUCUGAAAGGUGAAAGAAGGUGUGCUUAUCAACUAGGGUCGUUUUUUUAAAAAGUAAUUUCCUGGUUAAAAACCUGUUAUCCCCCACGUCUCUUGUCACUUCAAUCAUCAAGGAUUCCGAAGAGGCCAGAUUCAUUUUUCUUAACAUAUCCGAUUUCCUGGUAAAACAUGUCAAACAUAUGCUUAUACUGGGAUUCGUGUUCAUUCAAUGUCAGGUCAUACCGAUUCGUUAACGUGAUUUCUGCCUCUGGUCCUAGGAGGACACGUACAGGUCGGGAUUUAUUGGGAUCCAUCCAUUCUCUGACUCUCAAAUGGUUAUGGGUCUUGUGAUGAGCAUUCUUCUUGAAGCAAUUGGCAUCGGGUUGAUUGCUUUUGGCGCGGCGUCUUCUACUAUUAGUUAGCUUGAUCAAUCCGUACCCAGCACAAGCGCAAAAUACGGGAAAGAAGAGGAAAAAUACGAUCCCAUACAAAUAGGCCGCCUCACUGCCUUGAAAGGCAUCGUGGCCUCGAAGGUCGUUAUCAUUGGCAUUCAUCUUAAUUACCCAUUGUCCGCGUUCUCAAACCAGAAUCGAUCUGAGUCCCGCAAUCUCUCAAAUUGAUCUUGGAUAAUGGCUCCAAAGAGAGGCCCAGGACCCUCGUUAGACUCCAACAUUCCUGAAAGAAGACAGGCAAUCAAAGCACAUGAUUCCAUUUCCUAAUGGCGUAAACCACUUACCCCCAAUGUAA